AUGUCUAAGAUAGCCAUGCACGUCUAAGUACAAACUAAAUGAUGGUGAAACUGCAAAUGGCUCAUUACAACGGUUAUGAUGUACCCGGGAGUUCCGAUGGAUAUUUCCAGUAACACUAGAACUAAUACAUGUCCCUGCGUUUAUUAGUUUCGCACAGUCCGUCGCUGAGUCAUGGUAAACAGUUGAUCGACUCGACGUCCCGGAACAGUUUCCGCCCCAUCAGCUUCGAUGGUUGGGUAUUGGCCUACCAUUGCAACAACGGGUAACGAGGAAUUAGGGUUUGAUUUCGGAGAGGGAGCCUGAGAAACGGCUACCACAUCUACGGAUGGCAGCAGGCGCGCAAAUUACCCAAUGCAGACACUGUGAGGUAGUGACGAGAAAUAAUAAAGCGGGACUUCUGUUUCGCUAUUAUAAUGAGGAAUAACCAAAGGUCAUUCCGAUUAGCAACUGAUGGGAAAGUCUGGUGCCAGCAGCCGCGGUAAUACCAGCGUCAGUAGCAU
rnacentral:rRNA from 1 species